AUAAGCAGAAAAAUAAUUAAUUCAAUAAAUUCAUCACUAUCGAUUUUGUCAUUGUGUAUAUACAUCACCAUACAAAACAUUUCAGAAUUGAACACGCAGGUAGAGGAAAACUUGGCAACACAGGGAAUACCAACAUAUACAUACAUACAUAGUUCUACGGUUCUGCCAUGUAAUUUGCAAUUUGACCUCGUUUGUUGACCUCACUGGUUGCUAGGCACCAGUCAUAUUGUCAAAGGGAAGGAGUUAAGCUUUAACGAUGUUGCCAAAUUGUUUCAUGUUGAAAAUAUAUAGUCAAAAUCUAAUGCACUAAAUUGUUUAUGCAGUAAAAAUCACGAAUUCGUCAUAAACGUAACAAAAAUUAUUCAUUCGUGCUUAGUAUACAAUUAUCCUUAUAAUGCAGCAUAGUAUAAUAUUGAAUCCAUAUGAAUAUAAAUAGUUAACAUUUUUAUUACUUAACAUGUAAAACAAAAUUUGUAAAUGUAAAAUUAUAUCUUUUAUAAAUCGA